CGGGGCCGCCCCCGGGUGCCGCGUGCCGCCGCUGCCGGGGCUCGCGUGGCUCCCCCGGUCCCCCCGCACCUGGAGCGAGUCCCGGCUGUGCAAAGCCCCCGCUCUGUCACCCCUGGAGCCACCGCAGCCCUCAGGGGAGAGAGCAUCGCCUGCUGGCUUCCCCUUUCCCCGUCUGCACAGCUCCGGGGCUCCCGCGGAUCCGGCGGGGCUGGGAGGAGCCCUCGGGCACGCUUCCACUCAGGCCGCUUCUGCAGCGCCUUCCAGAUCACAGGAUCUACUGAGCUUGAGAGGGAUCCUAAAAUAUAACUCUCGAGCAAAAGGCCCGUGUGAGAAUUGAACUCACAGCCCAGCCAUUCCUGGGAUUCUGCUCCAGUCAACUGAGCUAAUCUGGGCUCGAACCUCCUUAGGGGAGGGAGUCAUCCCUAAGUCCCGGCUCUCUGGGGCUGCCUUUCCUGCUGGAAUAUGCAUUUUAAAUUUACCCCACCAAGCUUCUCCUGUGUCGAGAAGCCCAAGCCUUCCCACCGUGGACACCAGCUACAUCAACUCCUCGCUGUUCCAGGACUACAGGCAUCCAUUCCACAUGACACCCGUGCCUUACGACCUGCAGGGUGAGUUCUGAACAGCCCCCCAAGCACAAAAAAUAAUUAAAAAAUCAAGAUAAUGAGCUUACAAUCUUCGCUGCUGAACAGAAUUUGAAGUUUCAGCAGCAUUAGGUUGGUUUCGUUUCAAAAGAAGCGAAAAAAACCACUGAGAAACAGAAAUUGUCUUCUGUUUGGAGAAGCUGAAUUUUGGGGGGUUUUUGUGUCUCUCGACAGGUUUAGAUUUCCCCUCUUUCCUGUCAGGUGACAAUCAGGUAAUGACAUGAAUGGGCAGGACCUUUUUGAGCCUUUAUGAAGGUAUCAGCUCCGGGGUGGGGGCUCGGGGGCUGCGCACACCACCACUGCUCCCACGAGGUCACCAGGAAGGAGGUGUUCCAGCCCUCAGCAGGCCUGGGGCUUCCGUCCUCACGGGAAUCCGUGGAAGAUCUCUCGUGGCUGGUUUGUGUAGGGCUGUCAUCCCAGUCAAGCUCUUCCCUGGGGAUGGCACAGACUCCAAGUCGAGGCUGGGAACAUCCUGGUGUCUCUGCCAGUUGGGUUAUGAGGCUCUUUUGUCUGUCUUUCAUCAGGUCCGCUUGAUCCAGGGGCUCUCUCAGCACUCCUAACCCUUUUCCCCUCAUUUGCACACUGAGGCUGGGGGUACCCCAUGCUGGGGAGCAGCGGCAGAGACCCAACCAGCAGGGAUUGGAACACUCGGGGAAGAGAUGAACUCAACACAAUUAACAUCGGACUAGAAACAGCAGCAACAUUAUUAACUUUGUGGUAGAUGUUGUAACCAACAUUUCAGUGCAACACCAACAUUACAUCGUAACACAUACCUUGCUUGAAAAUGGUUUUUCUUCAUAGCAGGUAAAUUGGAGAGAAUGAAAUCCUGUUAGAAACGCUUUUCCGAGCGGGAUUUGCCACAUAGGAAGCAGCACAGCGGCGUUGUCUGAACACGAGAGUGGAAUCAGGCACAGGAAAAGGAAACUUUUUGGGGAGUCAGGGGUUAAACUCACUGGCUGAAGGUGCAGUUUGGUCCCUUUUCCUCCAAAAAGAAAAUGGACAUCUCCAUGGCCUUUCUGCUCUUCCAAGGAGGGAAUUUGCACAAAAAAUGCACAAAAAUUACAUGGAAAGUCAAGGGAUGCAGAGCUUCUUUUUGGGAGGGGGUCUAGACCUAGACGGGCUUCCAAUAAAACAAG